UAACUGGAGGGAUUCUCCUGUCCUUGC
rnacentral:sRNA from 1 species